CCUACGGGAGGCAGCAGUCGGGAAUUUUGGGCAAUGGGGGAAACCCUGACCCAGCAACGCCGCGUGAAGGAUGAAGUAUUUCGGUAUGUAAACUUCGAAAGAAUGGGAAGAAUAAAUGACGGUACCAUUUAUAAGCUCCGGCUAACUACGUGCCAGCAGCCGCGGUAAUACGUAGGGAGCAAGCGUUGUUCGGAUUUACUGGGCGUAAAGGGCGCGUAGGCGGCGCGGUAAGUCACUUGUGAAAUCUCUGGGCUUAACUCAGAACGGCCAAGUGAUACUGCAGUGCUAGAGUGCAGAAAGGGCAAUCGGAAUUCUUGGUGUAGCGGUGAAAUGCGUAGAUAUCAAGAGGAACACCUGAGGCGAAGGCGGGUUGCUAGGCUGACACUGACGCUGAGGCGCGAAAGCCAGGGGAGCAAACGGGAUUAGAUACCCCGGUAGUCCUGGCCCUAAACGAUGAAUACUUGGUGUCUGGAGUUCUAAUACUCCGGGUGCCGUCGCUAACGUUUUUAGUAUUCCGCCUGGGGAGUACGCUCGCAAGAGUGAAACUCAAAGGAAUUGACGG
rnacentral:rRNA from 1 species